rnacentral:lncRNA from 1 species
AGAUGAAAGGCAGCAAUAUAGUACCCUUAAGACUGAAAGCAGGGAGCUCUUUAGGAUUGUCUUCUCAGGGACCUAUAAACUAAGCUUGAACUACAUCGACAGGCCACAAGAUAGGAAGAACAGUGCUUCUAAGCCAUGGCCAGAUGCGGCUUGCAAGAUUAGUGCUGGGCCCCAGAUAAAGGCCGGACAUGAAUACUCCCAAACUUGGGCAGAUCCACCCCUUUGCAUCUCAAGACCUUCAACACAGGGAAUAUAAGUCAAGGUUCCUCAUUAGAGCCUUGGAAAAACCAGAAGAAUUCAGAAACAUAAGAACAGCUAUGCUGAACCACAGGGAGGCUCCAUCUGACCCAGUAGCUUAUCUCCCAGUAUCCUGAGAAACAAAUCUUACGGAAAUGCUAUAAGGACCUGUACAAGGUGAUCCUUCCUUC